AGUGUAGGCGGCUAUAUCAGUCGGAUGUGAAAGCCCCGGGCUCAACCUGGGAAUUGCAUUCGAUACUGUAUAGCUAGAGUUUGGUAGAGGUAAGUGGAAUUCCGGGUGUAGCGGUGAAAUGCGUAGAUAUCCGGAGGAACAUCAGUGGCGAAGGCGGCUUACUGGACCAAAACUGACGCUGAGGCUCGAAAGCGUGGGGAGCAAACAGGAUUAGAUACCCUGGUAGUCC
rnacentral:rRNA from 1 species